AGCAAACACAACCUUCCCAGAGAGUGAGAAAAAGUUAUCAAUAAGCUUCUGUCAAGCCCCAGGAGCAAAGAGAGAAACGAAAGGGGAGAGACCAAUGGACUAGAUGGAGAAAAGAAGAGAAGGCUUCUCCCCAGCAUCACCCACAUCACAAUCAGACCAGUGGUGAGUUGCUCCUGAUCCGGUCUGGUUCUAUAGAACCAGUAGUAAAACCAGCAGGAGGCUCUGCCCACCCGCCAUGACAUCAUCAUGGGUGAUCUGUGCAUGCGCAGAAGCGCAAGCGCUCCCGCUGGAAACCGGUAGUAAAGACUUCCAGGCUCCAAAUUCAGCUUCAAAUUUCCAGUCCAUUGGUCUCAAGUGUACUUUAAUGGAACAUGAAGACAUCGCUUUUGUUCUAUAAUACAGAUGCACACCGCUCAGCUAAAAAGAUGAUGAAGCAGGGAGCCAGCUGUGUCGAUGGGAGCCUUAGCUUCCUGUCUUUCCCUGCAUGAACAGCAGUACUCCAUACAAGCUGAAGAGGAAAGCUCAGGCUCUUUGGUGUCCCACUGGAUAUUAGACCAGGUUCACUUGCCCAAUGUCUUUCCCGACUGAAGAAUGGGUGGACAGCCGAAACACGUGGUCUCCCCUAUUUGCAAAGGUGGUUCUUGUCAGAUAUUGGCCAUCUAUUUGUUGAAAAAGCACACAGUGGCUGAACCAUACUUAUUGGCAAUUCAUCUGAGCUGCUUGCAAAGAGGAGGCUGUUAUUACAAAUUCAGGAACAGGUUCAAGCAGAAAACCAGACCGGAAGACAGAUGGAGACUACUGGAGGAUGUGUUUUUUUUCCCCAGCCCUUAUUUAGGGACUAUAUAGUCCCAUUUAGAGCAGGAUGAACAUCAACUACUUUGAGCGGAUGAAUGUCCUGCAUUUAUCCUCCCAAUUGAUCAAGAGAGAGCUUUAACUUGUUGGCCCUCAUCCCAUCCAUUACUUUCCCCAGAUACAAUGUCUAUCUCUCCUCUGAAAGUUUUGCUAAAUGGUCUCUCGUUUUUUUGGGAAGUAGCCAAGGUUUAAUAUAGAGAUAUAGGCUUCGCAGUUACUUACAAAUGUCCUUCUUCGCAGUAAAAGGUUUAUACUUGUUACAGUGAGCAUGUCGUAUAACUAAAAUGUCUCUCUCUCCGUGAAAACAUGUGCUUGUUACACAGUCAACAACAUGAACUUGUGAGUACAAGUAUCUGUGCUUCAGAAUGAUAUCUACAAGAUUCUUCCACACCAUCUGUAUCCUCAGGCAGAAGAGAGAUAAG